AAUAAUUCAUCUAUCCUUAUAGAAGCGCCGCAUCAAAUCUUCAGAAUGUAUGAGUUAUUAUGUUAAUAAUAUUUGACGAUAGUAUGAGCUAUGUUAUAGUUGUUCAUCAUAUAAAUUAUUCUCAGCCAAAAGUUAUACUUUCAAAUAUACGAAAGUUCACAUGUAUCAUACAACAAUUGUAAGUAAUAUUAUUCUCAGCCAAAAGUUAUACUUUCAAAUAUACAAAAGUUCACAUGUAUCAUACAACAAUUGUAAGUAAUAUAAAUCAUCAAUUAUUUACGAAAAAAAAAUUAGAAAUAACUACUGAUCAAUAGUAUCUACUUCAUAGUAAUUGUUUUGUUCUGACAAUUCAGUAGAAGUCAUCUGGUUUGUAAAAGAUCACAACCGUUCUUGAUGAAUAGAUUUGGUCUUGAUUUCCCAUAACACUCCACAAAAAAGCAUGUAUUUUUCACUAGAGUUUGGUAUCUUCAGUUCCUUUGGUAUCUUCUAUUCCUUUGGCUAUUGAAAUAUACAAAUCCCCUUCUUGCAAAAGCAAUUAAGGUGCAGGGAAAUGCGCACAAUGAUUUGAAGAAGAAAAACAACGAAACGUUGUUUCUCAUUCAUCAGUGCGUAGAUGCGAAAGUGUUUUGAGAAGAUUGCAGAAGCUGCAAUUCUAUGGAAGCUUCGGAUAUUUUGUUGAAGAGCUUGGAGGUGAUGCAAAGGUCAAGAAAGUGAAGCUUCAUGCCUUGAAGAGAUAGUGUGGGUCGAUGUAAAGGAAGAAUUGUGAAAAAUUUGCAGAUUAUUUCUCUAGAUUGGUAAAACUUACCAUUCUAAAGCAGAAUUAUGAAGAAGAAAUAUCAGAAGUAACAACAUUAGAGAAAGUAUUGCACACCUUGAUAGUUUUAUCUUGUCAUUUUAAGCUUAGAACCCUUGUUUCUUGCAGUUUUCUUAGUGAUAGGUUUUAGUUUCCUGAAUAAUGCUUAAGGGGAGAGAGUGUGAUUUCUUAUCUUAUGGCUUGAAGAUAGCAAGGUAGGAAAACAAACUAAUCGUGAACAUGGGUUAUUAAUUUCAUACAAUACACAUAUAUACUUCUAAUUCUAGCUAGAUCCUCUCUUUUUUGCCUUACUUGGUAAAACUUUCGAUUAGGGUCACGGUGGACAUCAAUGUUUACACUAAUGAGAUUUCACAUAAUACGGAGAGAACUAGACAUUGUUGCGACAAUUGCUAGUGGAAGUUUCUUCGCAUGACUUCAGAAUAGUAGAAGAUCGAAUGAAUCUAGCAAAAUCUGAAUCACAGUGGAACUUGCAAUGUGCCUCAACUGUGAAAUUGACUCUCUGCUAGUAUGCAGUUUUAAACAAAUGAAAAUUCAAUGCUUCUGUUUUUCUUGCGUUUUUCAUUUGCUAUAUUAUAUUAUACUUUUUUUUUUCACUUUUGUUUUGUUUGGUUCUCUUGUUAGGAGGUGUUUCAUCCUCUGGUUAAUGGUUUAUCUUGCGUCCUUUUAUUACUUUUAGGUAAAUAGAUUAAAAAUAUUGUUUGGUAUGAAUGGUUUGUAGGAGCCUUUGUAUUGUUUAGCUUGGUGAUUUGCACCUCUGUAUUGGUUAGGUGAGUAUUAUGUCCAAAGCUGUUGGAGGUAUUGUUGUCAAAAUUCCGACUUAAAUCAUAAAAUUCAGGAUUUUGCGACUUUCUUCACCUUCAACGACUCAAAUUCAUAGUAGAAUCCCAAAAUAGGAAAAAUUCAUCGAUUUUGAUUGUUAUUUAACGAUUUCUUAUAAACCUAGUCAUUUUUUUUAUUAUAUACCAUUUGUAAAAUAUAUUUAAUGUUAUUAUUUUUUUUGAUAAAAUCCAUCGAUUUUGAUUGCGAUUUUACAAUUUCUUAUAUCGAUUCUACAAAACUAGUUGAGUAAAAUCCUUCGAUUUUGAUUGCGAUUUUAUGAUUGUCGAUUUUGCUCAUCUCUUUCGACCUGAAGCAAAAUCCCGAUUUUAACAACCUUUGUUGGAGGGCCUUGUGUUUUUGAGUUUCCGUGGUGUGCUUCGAUCCCGCCUGUGUGCCUCUGCUUCAAUCCCUGGUGUGCUUUAAUGUCUACAGUUUUUUGGAAUAGACUGAUGUGGCCUACACUAGAUUUUUAUGCUCAUUUAUUUUUUAUUUUUUGAAACAGAAAAAUUUAUAACUAGAUUUUUAUGCUCAUUUAUUUUUUAUUUUUUUAAACAGAAAAAUUUAUAUCAAGUAUUAUAUUAAGUAUGCACAAGAUAUGCAUCCUGAUACAAAAUGUUGAUUUAAACAUGACGCAUAACUGCAUAAGUAUUGCUUACUUAUGUUCUAAGUUGUAUUUACCUUCUCUAAUCUUGAUUAAUCUUCAUCAAGAAGACACAAUUGAUACAUCUAGUGUGGCACUUGUAUUGAUUGGACUUGGAAACAUUGAUCUGGAUGCUGGAUUUGCUUCAUUCUCCUAAUAUCUUAGAUUGCUAAAAUUUUGUAGCUACCACCUAUAUUUGAUCCAUUCCAAUUUGAUGGAACUGGACUGUUUCUACUACACCUUGUUUGAGUUGAUGUGAAUCUUUCACCUUCACAUUCAUUAUAACCUUCCACAAUCACCAUCCACGUCCAGCUCUUGCACUUGGAUGAUAUUAGUUUUUAGUGACAUUAGUGACAUUGUUCCUGUUUCUCUCUUAAUCAUUUAUUUUAAUAAUUCAUCAGUCAAUUCUCUCAUCUAAAUACACUAACAUCAUCAAUGUCAUCGAAACUAUGUCACCCAACUGAAAUCCAAGCUUCACAUUUUUUUUUUAUAAGCCAAGAGCGAAAUGACAUUAAAAAGAAGUGUUCAACUAAGUUGGUACCCUACUCUAAUCUGUUACCAAUUGCUCAUAUACAUUAUUAAAAAAAAGGCUAAACUUCACUUUUCGCCCUCUAAGUUUCAAAAUGUUGUGAUUUUGGCUCCCUAUUAAAAAAAAUGGCAAAAGUGACCCCCUAUGUUUAGGGAAAUAUGCUCUUUUGACCUCCUAACAUAAGGGAAAUAUGCUUUUUGACCCCUUAUCUUUACAAAAAGUUGCGAUUAUGGCCCCCUUUUUAGGACACGUGGCCUCUUCUCAGCAAUUUUUGGAUGAAAGGGGCCAAAUUGCUAUUUUUUUUAAUAAGGAGCCAAAACUGCAACAUUUUGAAAGAUAGGGGGCGAAAAGUGCAGAUUAGCCUAAAAAAAAAGGAAAAAUUACAUGAAAAACUGGAGGACAUAAAAUCUGACCCAGUCACUAACCCUACUGGGCAAAACCAAAAAAUAAAAAAUAAAAAUCCACGAAGUAAAACCAACCUUAAACAUUUCUAACAACUAAGCUCGGGUCUAAAGUUUGGCGAAUGAACCGAUCGUCAACACAAAUUGGAUCACAUACCAUCAACUCUGCAACAAAGACAACAAAGAUUGACGACUCUUUCGAGUUCAUACAGUACCACUGCCAAAUGCUUGAAAGUGGGUGUGAAUUCGACCGCCAACACAGUAAUUAACGAACUCACGUGCACUAACUGAUCAGGUGAUUAAUUAGCCAUUUCUGGCCCACAUCAAGCAAACAUACAAACCCAGCUGAGGCACAUUGAGGAUGGCAUAUGAACUCAGUCGCCAACGGAUCAACUGAACAUACAAACCUAGCUUCUACCUUCGUGAGAUAGGUAUAUUAAUUUUUUACUAAUCUUCAUAAGUUCCGUUUCAAGUAUGGAUUAUGUUUCUUUAAAUUCUAAUCAGAUCUGAGUAUUGCCCAAGUGUAAAGACAUGCAUAAUGUAUUUUUUAUAAUCAUUAUCCACUGUCCCUGUUGGUCUGAUCAAAUUAGGUAAUGCAGGAACAUGUAUAUGUCUUAUCAUAUUGUGAAUAGUUGGACUGUUGUGGUUACUCUGAUUCCAUUUUUGUGGUGUGAAAAUGAUGGCACUGGAUACAAUGAUUUUCCUUUGAUUUUGUUUUGAUCUAUUAUUAGUGUUGCUUUAUUCUUGCAUGAUUGGUCUUGCAUGAUUGUUAUCGUGUGGUAGUAGACUGUGGGGCUUUCCUUUGCUUUUUUAGGAGUGAUAUUAUCUAUGUUAAAUUGUGUUAAUAUUCAUAAAUUGUUUUUUAUUUCUUAAAUAAAAUAAAAGAUAGAGAGGUUCUGCAAUUUAGUCUAUUUGCAGAGCAAGAGUUUAGGGAUUAACCUGAUUUUGAUUGCAAAUGUUAGUGGCGGUUAGAAUUAUCUGAAUCCCCUCUAUUCAAGAGGCCGCGGAAGACAUUACAAAGGGAGAAAUUUUAUUCCCAAGUAACACCCAAAAAGACAAAGAAACAUCCCAAGUCUUCAUAAGUCUUCAAAUAUUUUACUUUGCCGAUUUGCAUGAUUUCUUCGUAAAUUACAUCAAAACAUCCUAGAAUUGAUAUGUUUCGAGAAAAGUAGAGUUCCAUGACUCAAUAUAGAAAAUAUUACAAAAUGUCCUAAAAUCAUAGGGAAUUACUCUAAUACUCCUCUCUUUUUUUUUUUGGUAGAUAGACGAAUUGACAAAGUCUUUAUAAACUCACACGCAUAAGUGGAGGUACCGGGGUUCGAACCCGAUCAUGACAUCCGGCUUAACAAUUUCGGUAUUUUGCCAGUUGAGCUAGGAUUUCUGGAUUGCUCUAAUACUCCUCUAUUCUGGAUGAAAAACUAACUGAAAACGACUGAAAAACAUGUUAAGAAUAACGUAAGAUGACUUGUCAUCAACAACUAGAAGGAAACUAGACGGCAAUUGCUUCUCAUCAUUAUUUGAAACUAGAAGGAAACUAUUUGCUUCUUGUUGGUUUGCAUCCACUUACCUUCGUAUUUGCCUCAGGGAGAAGGCGUGAGUUUAAGCAUAUUUGAUUCUUGUUUAUCGUGUUUCCUCGUAGCUGAGUUUUUUUGGCUCACGUUGUUUAUUUGGGUUUUAGCGCCUUAUUGGGUUUUUUGCGAAUGGUUCUGCCAUUUCUUCUCGGUGGUUUUUGUUGUGUCAUUGGUUUGUUUUCCAAGGUUUUUGAGGCGUUCCCAUUGGUGUUGGGUGUGGGUUUUGAGUGCAUGGGUGAUUCAUUCUUUUGGAUCUCACUAUUGAGUUCAAUCUGCUAAUUAUGGUUUUUGGCAUGGGAUCAACUAGUUUUUGGUCUUGGUUCAUGAGUUUGAAGAUAGUAUUUUUUUUGUCUAUCUCUAGAUUCAAGAUAUAGGUAUUGAUUUUGUGUUCUUGAUAUCAGAUUUGGAACUGACUAUGAUGUUUCUAGAUUGUUUCGACUUGAAUCAUGUUUGGUUUGGGUCGAUUCCAUUCGGUUUGCAGCUUUGGAUUGUUUUGGGCUGAUCAUGGAUUAGCCAGAGUUGAGGUGUCAUUCAAAUGUGAUUUUUAUCUCUUGAUCUGGUUUGAUUUUUUCCGUUGUCAAGAUUCGUUGUUCACACACACCAUUAUUUUAUUUUGCACUUUAGUUUUGCAUUCCUACGUUGAGUUUCCUUGGUUAUGGAUCAUGUGGUGAGUUUUUUUAUUAUUUCUUGCUCUCUAGUAACGGUCAAAUAUGACAGUAUUUCUUACCCCUCUAAGACGGUCCCUUUUGGGUUGGCUAUUAAAUACCAUUGGUGUCGCUUUCUUUGUAAUACCUAUUAGGGUUGUUUAACUGGCUCAGGUCUAUCCCAUUUCUUAUAAAAAAAAGGAUUUGUUUUAUUUAUAUAUAUUUUUUAAUAUAUAUUUCUAUUUGUUAUAUAAUAUUUGUUAUAUAAGGAAAUAUAUGCUAUUUAUAGGUUGUUAUAUAUAUAAUUUAUAGAAUCUAAUUUCUAGAAUUUACCUCCUAAGGGUGACACACAAGCAAUCCAUUUUCUCUAUAUCUUUAUCUCGACGUGAAUCGUAUGUUUGCAACAAAAGGGACAGAAUUUUCUGAAUUCCAAUCGAUUGGGUGUAUUGUGUCGAUUCUUUUGAGUAAUAUAUCUAGAAAUACCCCUAGAUUCCUUAUUAACACUCUUUUUAUCACAACUGCUACAUUCCAAAAUAACAGUUAUUCGUAUAUCUUUACCCUUGGCCAUGAACCUCCUUUGGUUUUUUUUGAUUCACUUAACUCUUCUAUUUUAAGAUUCGAAGCGAAGAAGAAAAAAGGAACGAAAAAAGUAUAAGUUGAUAAUUCAAAAUCAAAUUAUUAAAGAUUUUGUUCCAAUUCAUUUUAUAUAGUACAGUAAUAAUUCACUAAUACAAUGAUUUAGAACUAUAUUUCGAAUCACAGUACAGUAUUUCAUUUAAAUAUCUUGUAUGAUAUUAUUGACCAAGUAUUCUAUUACAAUUCCAUUUAUGGUGUCACUCUAUUAUUAAUUUAAUAGCAAUGGAAUUGAAUUAAUACUUCAAUUCCAUUGAAACCUGGGAAAAACUCCUAAUUUCACGGAGGCCAAAUCCACCUUUCUUAAAUUAAUUUGCUCUUUUUUUUUUCUCGAAUUUAUUCUAGUUUAAUUAGAAAGAAAAAAAAACGAACGAAGAGGGAUUUAAUCACAGAUAUUUUAUUGGAUCUCUAAUCUUUGUCACCCCUUUCCCGUGCCAAUAACUAGAAUCAAAAAAAGGGGAAUGUCAAUGCAUCCGGGAAUAAACGAUUGAUUUCUAUCAAGAGACCUGCUAGAACCGCGAACCAUAGAGUACUUGCCACUGGUGCCACAGAGAGAUAUGUUUUUAGAUCUCGCAUUUCAAAUCCUCCUUUGUUUUUUUUCUUGUAAUUUGUAAUACAUAAUAAUACAGAAUUACAUAUUAGGAAUAUGAUCAAUAAUUAUACAUUCUAUUAAAAGAAUAUUUUCAAUUUUUAUAUUUUUUAUUCUAUUUUAAUUCUAUUAUUUUAAUGCUAUUAUAUAUAUAUAUAUAUAUAUAUAUAUAUAUACAUAUAUAUUAUACUCUUUAUGUUCUUGUUAUUAUUAUUAUACUCUUUAUAUUGUUAAUAUUUAUAUUAUAUAUCCUAUCUAUUCAUCGAUAUCUUAUUUAUACGAUAUAAUAAAGUAAAAAAAAAAAAUGACAGGAUAUAUUCUAUAUAUAUAUAUAUAUAUAUAUAUAUAUAUAUAUAUAUAUAUAUAUAUAAUGGAAAAAUGUGGAAAACAAGACAAAAAGUCUUUACAAUGACAAUGGAAACCAAUGUAAAGGGAUGUAGCGCAGCUUGGUAGCGCGUUUGUUUUGGGUACAAAAUGUCACAGGUUCAAAUCCUGUCAUCCCUAUCCCUAACUAGUAGUUAUCGUAUCAGCAGUAACAAUAGAUCAAUUGCGACCGAUUCAAAUUGAUACAUACUCAAUAUGAAUAGUUCUCCAUAUUGAGUAUGUAUACAUGCAAGAUCUAUUGCCAUCACAAAAAAUUCUUUAUGAAAAGAAAGCGCUCUUAGUUCAGUUCGGUAGAACGCGGGUCUCCAAAACCCGAUGUCGUAGGUUCAAAUCCUACAGAGCGUGAUUCCGCCCGAUUCUUCUUAGAUUGAGAAUGACACUUAAAUCUUAAAUAUUAAAUAAUGGGAUAACAGUCUAAUCAAAAGUUUUAAUUUGAUCUACUGUGAAUUAGUAUUAAAACAAAGAAAUGGCAGGUCAAUAAACAAGAGAGAUGUUAAUUAAAUCAAAUAUCCAACUGAUCACCACGUCGGUAUUGUAAAUAUGCCGUUACAAAUAAUCCAGCCAAAGUAAUAGGAAUUAGACCUAACACGAUUCCAAAUAGAGAAACUUCAAUCAUUUGAGUUUGGUUGAAAGGAAAAAAAGUGGGGGUAAUAUCUAUCCUUAAAUAGGAAUUUGUAUUGACCGUGAAUCUCAAUGACCAAGAAUUGGCAAUUGACAUGAUAAGGAACUAUAGAAUAUCUAAAAAAUUCCAAAAUUUACAAUUCAUCUCAAAAUUUCAAAUCAAAUAAGUCGUAUCUUAUUCAAACUAAUAAAAAGACCCGCGGUUAUUGUUAAAACUGCUAGUAGAAAACCGAAAUAACUGGUUAUAGUGGGCAUAAGGAAACUAGAUGAAAUAUGUUCUUUUUAUACAUAUGUUUAUAAAGCACUUUCCUAAGUUUCCAUUUAGUUUUGAGAUAAAAAUAGGAAAAUAACCAAAAAAUACCACUUGAAAGAUACAAUUGAAAAUAAUUGAUUCAUGAAUCAAUUAUUACGGACAAACAAAAAUAAAAAUCUAGUUACAUAGGUACGAAAUCAAUUCAUCAUCUGUGACAUCUACCCAUCCUGUGAUUCCAAAUCAACAGAUUUAUUGAUCAACUCAUUAGUUGAGUAAACUAAUCGAUGUCCCUCAAGUCUUCUGUAUCUCUCAUAUAUUUUAAUCAGUUUCCUACUUUGCUUUUAAAAAACUCUAUGUUCUUGUUCCCCUUUUUAAAUGCAUAAAUAGAUCAUCUUAUAAACAAACAACUAUUUAUGCAUAUUUAGAAACAAAAAUAACUGUUGAAAUGCACCGCCAAAAGCAUUCAUCAUCUAUUAUAUUUUGUUUGCACUGUUAUCUUUUAAGUUACACUCAUCUUGCACAUGUCGUUUUUUAUAUAUGUUACAUUAUUUGAUUGUGCGAACCACAACUUUUGUUUUACAACUAGAGAUGAAUAAUGUUAAGAUGUGCAUUCAUCAUAAAUCACACUAGAGAUGAAUGACUCACUGUUUUGAGUUUGUGAGUUGAACCAUUGCUUCUGAAUGAAGACGAUUUUUCAAAGGGUAGGAAAGCUAUGUAUUUGACACUUCUAUGUGAAUUUUCUCAAUAUUAAAAUGCCAUAUGCACUUUUUUUUAAUGGAACUUGUUAAUAAGAUUUGCAAGUAAAACAUAAUGUACCGUAAAAACUAAUUCAAGAAAAUAAACCUCAAAGAACCCUCAUAGGUAAUUUUGCCUAAAAUUUACUAAAAAAGAAAAAAAAGCUCCAUCUCUGGAUUUUUUAGCUUUACAUAUUCGAUUCACAACAUAUGAGUUUGUCUAAUAUUAGAUUAGAAAACACCAACAUAUAUAUAAUUGUUAAUUAGUAGUAAUAUUUAGCUUUAAAGAAAGAUUGUUUUUAAUCCGAACUUUUAAAUGUGUUUUCUUUAACUUGUUGUUAAUGAUUUAGUACCGGCCACUAAUGGCAGACGAGUUUCCUUCACAGAGAAACCUAUGAAUUAUUUUUAUCUAUAUAUUCUUUAUAUCUUCUUUUAUCCUACUCCUUCAGUCUUAAAUUAGGUGUUUUUUUCUAUAAAAAAAUCACAAAUUAUUUGUGAAUUUUAUGAUAUUGAUAUAACAUUUAUUAUUCUUUUCCACUAACAUACCCUUAUUUAUUGUAUUUCAUUCAUCUAUAAUUAUUACGUUAACUAUAAUUGAUAAGGAUGUUUCUUUUGUACAAAUCUAAAACAAAAGAGAAAAAAGGAAAACAAAAGAAACAGAAAAAAGAGAGCCACACUCUCAAAUAAAAAGUUUCAGAUGCAUCACUCCAAAGAAAAUUCAAACGAUCCGAUGGAGAAGACUCAUGACAAAGAAACUCAAAGUUUGAUGAGGCACCAAGCUUGACCAAAAAAUUCGCACGUUGAUUCCUUUCCCUUGGGGUAUGAUUCAUGGUAAUAUUUCCUUGCUCCAAAAGCUCUUUUAUAUCUUGAAUCAAAACAGCAUAAAGAUGAAACCUCAUUUGGAACCAUUAAGGAUGUUGAUACAAUAAAGAGAAUCAGAGUAGCAAAAUAAAUCAAUAAUACUCAUGUUCUUGGCCAGCACCUGAUAUUAUGGCAUAGAGUUCGGCAAACAGAAUAUCAAAAGAAUUUUAGAUGUAGCUAGAGAAUUAUUACAAAUUAAACCCUCCAUUAAGGAUUUUUAAACAAAUUAUACAUAUUUUACCAUUAAAAUCAACAUAUUAAUCAUUUUUUUAAUAACUAUAUUCAAAUAAGACACCUAAUAUGAGACGAAAUAAAUAUAUGUAUGUCUUUGUAGCAUCUAUACACAACCUCAUCAUGCUCUCUUAAAGACUUACUUUUAAGCUAGCAUUUAGCUGAUGUGACAACUCUAAAUAUUUUUUUUAUGAUUUAUUUCAAUAGUGGAUGUGGAUGAUUGAAUGUCAAUACAUAAUUUCAUGAUUUAUUUUAAUCUAACUAUCUUCUAUUUAUCUAUCUAUCCUGAAAAUUAAGCUUGAGUUAAUUUUAGACUUGCAAUGUGACUGUGAGACCUCUACUUAACUUUCUCAUCCUUUAUGGAAUAGUUCUUUCUAGGCUAGCAUUUAGCUAAUGUGACAGACAACUCUAAAUAAUUUUUCGUGACUUAAACCACUUAAGUAAAGUUUAGGGUUGAUUUUCCCUUGUGUCAAUUUUAGGGGGCAAAUUUAAUUUAUUUGACAAAAUAUAUAUUUCUUAUUAUAAGAAUGAAAAAUAAGAUUUUAUUAAAAUACAAGAAGAAGAUCUAAGAGCGCAAGAAAUGCUAAAAGAUGUCCAAGAAUAAGCAUAUUUUUAGAGGACAAAAUACCUUGACAACAACAAACAUAUUUCAUAAUUUCUUGAUUUAUUUCAAUCUUUAUUAUGUGGUGGGGGAAAACUGAACAGCUUCCAAAAUUCUGAAUAGCGUCCCACUACUUUUAUGAAUGCCGCUCAAAAGCACAACAUAAGGCACUGGUACUUUAUAUAAUCUUCUAUUGAAUUUGUUUCAAAAUAAUGUUACCUUCAGUUUUCAAUGCAAUAAUAACUUUUUCUUUU
rnacentral:lncRNA from 1 species